rnacentral:rRNA from 1 species
AGUGGCGAACGGGUGAGUAACACGUGAGUAACCUGCCCCUGACUCUGGGAUAAGCGUUGGAAACGACGUCUAAUACUGGAUAUGACUGCCGGCCGCAUGGUCUGGUGGUGGAAAGAUUUUUUGGUUGGGGAUGGACUCGCGGCCUAUCAGCUUGUUGGUGAGGUAAUGGCUCACCAAGGCGACGACGGGUAGCCGGCCUGAGAGGGUGACCGGCCACACUGGGACUGAGACACGGCCCAGACUCCUACGGGAGGCAGCAGUGGGGAAUAUUGCACAAUGGGCGAAAGCCUGAUGCAGCAACGCCGCGUGAGGGAUGACGGCCUUCGGGUUGUAAACCUCUUUUAGUAGGGAAGAAGCGUAAGUGACGGUACCUGCAGAAAAAGCACCGGCUAACUACGUGCCAGCAGCCGCGGUAAUACGUAGGGUGCAAGCGUUGUCCGGAAUUAUUGGGCGUAAAGAGCUCGUAGGCGGUUUGUCGCGUCUGCUGUGAAAUCCCGAGGCUCAACCUCGGGCUUGCAGUGGGUACGGGCAGACUAGAGUGCGGUAGGGGAGAUUGGAAUUCCUGGUGUAGCGGUGGAAUGCGCAGAUAUCAGGAGGAACACCGAUGGCGAAGGCAGAUCUCUGGGCCGUAACUGACGCUGAGGAGCGAAAGCGUGGGGAGCGAACAGGAUUAGAUACCCUGGUAGUCCACGCCGUAAACGUUGGGCGCUAGAUGUAGGGACCUUUCCACGGUUUCUGUGUCGUAGCUAACGCAUUAAGCGCCCCGCCUGGGGAGUACGGCCGCAAGGCUAAAACUCAAAGGAAUUGACGGGGGCCCGCACAAGCGGCGGAGCAUGCGGAUUAAUUCGAUGCAACGCGAAGAACCUUACCAAGGCUUGACAUACACCGGGAAACGGCCAGAGAUGGUUGCCCCCUUGUGGUCGGUGUACAGGUGGUGCAUGGUUGUCGUCAGCUCGUGUCGUGAGAUGUUGGGUUAAGUCCCGCAACGAGCGCAACCCUCGUUCUAUGUUGCCAGCGCGUUAUGGCGGGGACUCAUAGGAGACUGCCGGGGUCAACUCGGAGGAAGGUGGGGAUGACGUCAAAUCAUCAUGCCCCUUAUGUCUUGGGCUUCACGCAUGCUACAAUGGCCGGUACAAAGGGCUGCGAUACCGUAAGGUGGAGCGAAUCCCAAAAAGCCGGUCUCAGUUCGGAUUGAGGUCUGCAACUCGACCUCAUGAAGUCGGAGUCGCUAGUAAUCGCAGAUCAGCAACGCUGCGGUGAAUACGUUCCCGGGCCUUGUACACACCGCCCGUCAAGUCAUGAAAGUCGGUAACACCCGAAGCCGGUG